GCACCUAUAGCUCAGUUUGGUAGAGUGCCGCUUGCACGCGGUGAAGUCGUGGGUUUGAAUCUUACGAGGUGCC
rnacentral:tRNA from 1 species